GGCCAUGUGGUGUAGUGGUACCAUAUCUGCCUCCGAAGCAGGAGAUCCACGGUUCAAUCCCGUGCAUGGUCG